rnacentral:piRNA from 1 species
UCCAGCAGGGCACAUACAACACCCAUGGAG